rnacentral:misc_RNA from 1 species
CGGUAAUACGCAGGCGCGUUAAUCGGAACACGGGCGUAAAGCGUGCAGGCGGUUCGAAAAGUUAUGAUGUAAAUCCCCAGAGCUUAACUCGGAACCGUAUUUUUAACUACCGAGCUAGAGUGUGUCAGAGGGGAGGUGGAAUUCCGCGUGUAGCAGUGAAAUGUAGAUAUGCGGAGGAACACCGAUGGCGAAGGCAGCCUCCCCCUGGGAUAACACUGACGUUCAUGCACGAAAGCGUGGGGAUAAAACAGAUUAGAUAUUCUGGUAGUCCACGCCCUAAACGAUGUCAAUCAGGCUGUUAGCCUUCGGGCCUUGGUAGCGCAGCUAACGCGGUGAAGUUGACCGCCUGGGGAGUACGGUCAAGAUUGAACUCAAAGGAAUUGACGGGGAUUCCGCACAUGGUGGAUGAUGGGAUUAAUUCGAUGCAACGCGAAAACCUACUCUUACCCUGACAUGUCUGGAAUCCCGAAGAUUUGGGAGUGCUCGCAAGAGAACCGGAACACAGGUGCUGUACGGCUGUCGCCAGCUCGUGUCGUGAGAUGUUGGGUUAAGUCCCGCAACGAGCGCAACCCUUGUCAUUAGUUGCUACGAAAGGGCACUCUCGACAUGAGACUGCCGGUGACAAACCGGAGGAAGGUGGGGAUGACGUCAAGUCCUCAUGGCCCUUAUGGGUAGGGCUUUCCACACGUCAUACAAUGGUCGGGACAGAGGGCUCGCCAACCCGGCGAGGGGGAGCCAAUCCCAGAAACCUGAUCGUAGUCCGGAUCGCAGUCUGCAACUCGACUGCGUGAAGUCGGAAUCGCUAGUAAUCGCGGAUCAACAUGUCGCGUGAAUACGUUCCCGGUCUUGUACACACCGCCCGUCACACCAUGGGAGUGGGUUUUACCAGAAGUAGUUACCUAACCGUAAGGAGGGCGAUUACCACGGUAGGAUUCAUGACUGGGGUGAAGUCGUAACAAGGUAA